rnacentral:rRNA from 1 species
ACUAGAGUAGCACUCGCAUAUCAAUAAGCGGAGGAAAAGAAACUAACAAGGAAUUCCCCUAGUAACGGCGAGUGAAGCGAGAAGAGCUCAAAUUUGAAAUCUUAAAGGGUUUCCCUUUACGAAUUGCUAGUUUAAAGAAGUGUUUUCUGUUGAGGUUUUGGUAAAAGUUCUUUGGAAUAGGACAUCAUAGAGGGUGUGAAUCCCGUAUUUGACCUUUACUUUCAACUUUGUGAUACACUUUCAAAGAGUCGGAUUGUUUGGGAAUGCAGUCCAAAAUGGGUGGUAAAUUUCAUCUAAAGCUAAAUAUUGGCGAGAGACCGAUAGCGAACAAGUACCGUGAGGGAAAGAUGAAAAGAACUUUGAAAAGAGAGUUAAACAGUACGUGAAAUUGUCAAAAGGGAAGCGUUUGACACCAGUGUUGUUUUUCUGAAAAUCAAUUAAAGAACUGUUUAUGCUAAGUUGUUUAGACUUUAUCAGCUAUCUGUUUAGUUUUGAGCUUUUCUUUAAUGCACUUUUCAGUUAACAAGUCAACAUCAAUUUCUUUUGCUGUAAAAAAGCUUGAGGAAGGUGGCUUGAGAUUCGUCUUAAGUGUUUAUAGCCUCUUGCCUAUGCAGUCGGAGAGAUUGAGGUCUGCAGCGUAGAUCCUUCGGGGCUAAAUGCAUUUGUGCUAAGUUAUAGCAUUUUAUAGACAACUUGUUGACUAUGAUUUGUCUUGUAGCUUACUCGCUUAUGUUAUUUUACCUACGCUUAGGAUGUUGAACUCUAUCACACACAG